CCUACGGGAGGCAGCAGUGGGGAAUAUUGGGCAAUGGGCGCAAGCCUGACCCAGCAACGCCGCGUGAAGGAAGAAGGCUUUCGGGUUGUAAACUUCUUUUCUCAGGGACGAAGAAAGUGACGGUACCUGAGGAAUAAGCCACGGCUAACUACGUGCCAGCAGCCGCGGUAAUACGUAGGUGGCAAGCGUUAUCCGGAUGUAUUGGGUGUAAAGGGCGUGUAGGCGGGAGCGCAAGUCAGAUGUGAAAACUCAGGGCUCAACCCUGAGCCUGCAUUUGAAACUGUGUUUCUUGAGUGCUGGGGAGGCAAUCGGAAUUCCGUGUGUAGCGGUGAAAUGCGUAGAUAUACGGAGGAACACCAGUGGCGAAGGCGGAUUGCUGGACAGUAACUGACGCUGAGGCGCGAAAGCGUGGGGAGCAAACAGGAUUAGAUACCCCUGUAGUC
rnacentral:rRNA from 1 species